UACGUAGGGGGCUAGCGUUGUUCGGAUUUACUGGGCGUAAAGCGCACGUAGGCGGUUUGUUAAGUCAGGGGUGAAAUCCCAGAGCUCAACUCUGGAACUGCCUUUGAUACUGGCAAGCUAGAGUCCGGAAGAGGUAAGUGGAACUCCUAGUGUAGAGGUGGAAUUCGUAGAUAUUAGGAAGAACACCAGUGGCGAAGGCGGCUUACUGGUCCGGAACUGACGCUGAGGUGCGAAAGCGUGGGGAGCAAACAGG
rnacentral:rRNA from 1 species